GGCUAAACCGUUUAUUUCCCCUGCAGAAAGGCUUAUUUGUGUGAUCUGAGUGCCAUUCAUCUAAUAAUGUGCACUCAGAUCCCAGCUAUCUGGGGACAUGUGAAAUGUCUGUGUGUUAUGUGUAAAUGUGACUUUAUGUAUUUUAAAGUGUUUUGUGUCUUUUUGCAACCAUGUGCUUAAUGGAGUCUUGUGUCUAUCCUGGGAGAUAAUUGAAUUACUCUCCAGGAUAGAAGACUCUGAAACUGUUUUGGGCCAGAAAGCCAUGCUUCAUUUAGUCACAAAGGACUUUCCCUUAACUUUUGAACCCCUGGUCUGAUUCGUGCCAUUUUUUAAUAUGUUGUUCC